rnacentral:rRNA from 1 species
AGUCGAACGCGCAGCGAGAGGUGCUUGCACCUUUCAAGCGAGUGGCGAACGGGUGAGUAACACGUGGAUAACCUGCCUCAAGGCUGGGGAUAACAUUUGGAAACAGAUGCUAAUACCGAAUAAAACUUAGUAUCGCAUGAUAUCAAGUUAAAAGGCGCUACGGCGUCACCUAGAGAUGGAUCCGCGGUGCAUUAGUUAGUUGGUGGGGUAAAGGCUUACCAAGACGAUGAUGCAUAGCCGAGUUGAGAGACUGAUCGGCCACAUUGGGACUGAGACACGGCCCAAACUCCUACGGGAGGCUGCAGUAGGGAAUCUUCCACAAUGGGCGCAAGCCUGAUGGAGCAACGCCGCGUGUGUGAUGAAGGCUUUCGGGUCGUAAAGCACUGUUGUAUGGGAAGAAAUGCUAAAAUAGGGAAUGAUUUUAGUUUGACGGUACCAUACCAGAAAGGGACGGCUAAAUACGUGCCAGCAGCCGCGGUAAUACGUAUGUCCCGAGCGUUAUCCGGAUUUAUUGGGCGUAAAGCGAGCGCAGACGGUUGAUUAAGUCUGAUGUGAAAGCCCGGAGCUCAACUCCGGAAUGGCAUUGGAAACUGGUUAACUUGAGUGUUGUAGAGGUAAGUGGAACUCCAUGUGUAGCGGUGGAAUGCGUAGAUAUAUGGAAGAACACCAGUGGCGAAGGCGGCUUACUGGACAACAACUGACGUUGAGGCUCGAAAGUGUGGGUAGCAAACAGGAUUAGAUACCCUGGUAGUCCACACCGUAAACGAUGAAUACUAGGUGUUAGGAGGUUUCCGCCUCUUAGUGCCGAAGCUAACGCAUUAAGUAUUCCGCCUGGGGAGUACGACCGCAAGGUUGAAACUCAAAGGAAUUGACGGGGACCCGCACAAGCGGUGGAGCAUGUGGUUUAAUUCGAAGCAACGCGAAGAACCUUACCAGGUCUUGACAUCCUUUGAAG